rnacentral:rRNA from 1 species
GACGAACGCUGGCGGCGUGCCUAACACAUGCAAGUCAAAGGGAAGCAACUUCGGUUGUAAGUACUUGGCGCAAGGGUGAGUAAUGUAUAGGUAAUCUGCCCUUUGGACUGGGAUAACCCCGAGAAAUCGGGGACAAUACCAGAUGACGCAGCGGGACCGCAUGGUACUGUUGUUAAAGAUUUAUCGCCAAAGGAUGAGCCUAUAUCCCAUCAGCUAGUUGGUAGGGUAAAGGCCUACCAAGGCUACGAUCAGUAGCUGGUCUGAGAGGAUGAUCAGCCACACUGGAACUGAGGCACGGUCCAGACACCUACGGGUGGCAG